ensembl:lncRNA
CCGAGACAGCGGCUGCAGCGGCGGCGGCGGCGGCGGCCCCAGCCGGCGUCAGUCAGACUGGAGCCGCGAAGCCUCAUCGCCCGUAUUAGUGCGCCGACCUGGAAAGCCGCCAGGAGUCCUGCUCGCGGGUCCGCCCCCGCCCGCCGCCGCCGCGCGCCCGGAGCCGCUCGGGGAGCCCGCCAGGAGGGGGGAGCGCGGCCCGCCCCGCGGCCACGUGCGCGGAAGCCCGCGGCGGGGGCGCCUCGGGGACGCCCGGGCGCGGGGUCUCCCGGGCCCCCGGGCGGCGUCCGGGUCCUCCCGUGAGACCCGACUCCCCUCGUCCGCGGCUCGGCCCCCUCGGCUGGGCGGCGGGGGCACCUCGCGUCUCUCUCCCCGAACGUCCUGCCUCUCCACCUAGAGCCCGAGGCCGGAGGACCGUUUCCAGAACUCGAGGUGUGGAACCGACAAAUCGGUUUGGAAACCGCCACCCCCAACAAGUGGCUCUUCCCGACGUGUUUCUGAGUCCCGAGGGUGGCUGUUCCUUGCUGUUUGUCUCUUACUUGCUUUGCAAGAGUAAAGGGGGUCAUUACCCCCAACCGACAGCGCCAGAGUAACUGGUUUGCCCCUGCAUAAGCGGAUGAAAAUCGACUCACUCAAGAGUGAGCAGGUGACACAGGAGGUGCAGAUUCGAUCCCUGGUUUGGGAAGAUCCCCUGGAGGAGAGCAUGGCAGCCCACUCCAGUAUUCUUGCCUGGAAAAUUCCACAGACAGAGGAGCUUGAUGGGCUACAGUCCAUGGGAUCAGAAGGAGUUGGAUGCAACUGGGUCUAGAAGUCCAAGAUCAAGGUGUCGGCAGAUUCGGUGGACAGGCUGAGCCCACUAGACCAGCAAGUUGCCUGGUUGGAAGAUGCAAGUUUCUCCUUGGUGUUUAUUAACAGAUGACUUCUGACGGAAUGAAUCCUAGGAGAGAGAAGAGAUAUUCAAAACUCUUUAAGUGAGAAUAAAAGAACAUCUCUGAAAGCAUUUUCUGUACAAAUAUGUUUCAUGUUCAUAUAGAAUUUAAGAUUAAUAAAGGAUCUUAAUCGUGUCUGUGCUUCUAUCAUACUGCAUAUUGUUUGGUGAGCCUUAGUCUACUUUUAAGACCUCUAUUGAAAAUAGUUAAGCAUAGAAGAAAACAGAUUCAUUACUUCUGGCUUUCCUCUUUAAGAGAGAAGUUUGGGUGGAGGGAAAAAAAAAGUCAUAUUACCUUAGAACAAAGGUCAUAAACAAUAAAAUAUGAG